AGUGGCUCAUUCACCUGGUUAUGACAGCCCUGCGUAAGCGGACAAGUGCUCAUAACACCCAGAAUGACGCACAAUACGGUGCCUGUCGUCCACCUCACCGAUAAUCGUUCACUCUGUGACGUUAUCAAACAUCGGACGCAACGUUGAGUAAGGCACCACCUA
rnacentral:sRNA from 1 species